ACGCUCGACACCUACGGGGGGCAGCAGUCGGGAAUAUUGCGCAAUGGAGGAAACUCUGACGCAGUGACGCCGCGUAUAGGAAGAAGGUUUUCGGAUUGUAAACUAUUGUCGUUAGGGAAGAAAAAGGACAGUACCUAAGGAGGAAGCUCCGGCUAACUACGUGGCAGCAGCCGCGGUAAUCUGAGCGGGCUGGCAAGGC
rnacentral:rRNA from 1 species